GUACAGCAGCUGCAGUCACAGAGAUGACAGCAAGCUACUGCAGGUGACCUCCAGGAGCUGUAUUAUGGAUAGUUAUGGCAGCAGCAGUGUAGAAACCAGUGAUUGUGGGCUGCACACCCAGCAGUGUCAGGAAGACUGGACUCCAGGGCACAUGCGGAGCAACACAUAUCAGGGACAGCGGGAGGAAGGCGGCUUUCCACAGCAGAAUGUCCUGCAUUCUGUCUGUGGCUGUGACACUGCUGUGCUGUCAGUGUGGCCUUGUCCUGCAGCCAUAUGUGAAAGACCAAGAGCUCAAACCAGUACUGCAACAUAGAUGAGCUGCCCACCUCUGGAUUUCUUGGUACAUGAGAUCAAGCACAAAACGAAUACAAAGAACUCCUAUCCUUAUCCUCAACUGUCUGGAGAGGUUGGGAUGUUCUGAGAGAAGAUGAGCAUCAACAGGAACAUUCUUAAGGCAUGCCCCCCAUGAUGACAGCAAUUAGGAUAAACAUUAAACUAGAUUACCCUAUUUGCCAA